AACUGAUGCAGAGAACUCACUGGA
rnacentral:piRNA from 1 species